rnacentral:lncRNA from 1 species
UCUCUGUCUCUCUCUCUCUAUCACACACACACACACACACAAACACACCAGUUAUGAAGAUUAUGUUUCUGUAAAGCUAAUAAAGACUGGUAUACUUUCUUAAUCCCCUUCAUUAUCUUCUUUAUUCUAGAAAGAUUGCAUUCUGAGGAUGUUAUGCAGUAUAUUGAUCGGGUUUACAUUACUACAAUGAGAUACCUGAGGAUAUAGACCCUUUUUGACAUUUGUGCCUAAACAGCUGUGGAUAAAAGCCAUGUGGAGAUGGAUAAACUGCACAAUUAAAAACUACAGAUGUCAACUUCAGGCCUACAAAGACCAGACACUGAAAAUAUCUCAUAUGUUAAGAGGUAGACUCUACAAUUAGGGCAAUUAAAAAGACAAAGGCAAAGAGAUGCUAGACUUGAGAGAGGCACCAGGCAACAAAAUAACAAGGAUUUAUCAAGAAGAGUUAACACUGCAGAACCCAGAAAGGAAAGACCAGGAAAGCUAGCUCCCUUCCCCCACCUGACAAAAUGCAAGAGAGGUUUAGGAUCUCUGGGAGCUGCGUUUUCAGCAGAGCAGUGGCAUGGCAUGGCAUGGCAUGGUGAGCUGUCCACCCCUUGAACAUAACAAUUGUGGUAAUUGUUAACUUAUUUUCUCUUUGUUGCUCCAAGCAAGACCAAGCUAUAAACAUUCCUAAGAAAGAGAAAUACCUUACAACCGCA